UACAGAGGUCUCAAGCGUUGUUCGGAUUCAUUGGGCGUAAAGGGUGCGUAGGCGGCGCGGUAAGUCGGGUGUGAAAUCUCGGAGCUUAAUUCCGAAACUGCAUUCGAUACUGCCGUGCUUGAGGACUGGAGAGGAGACUGGAAUUUACGGUGUAGCGGUGAAAUGCGUAGAUAUCGUAAGGAAGACCAGUGGCGAAGGCGGGUCUCUGGACAGUUCCUGACGCUGAGGCACGAAGGCCAGGGGAGCAAACGGG
rnacentral:rRNA from 1 species